rnacentral:lncRNA from 12 species
UUUAAACCAUUAGAGUUACAAAAAGGAAAAAAAAAGUCUUUUAAUUAUUUCCUCAAAAAAUAGUCUUUUAGUUAUUUACUAAUGAGGUUUUAAAUUUGUUCAUAUGAUCUUACACAUUUUUACUGAGAUUAUUCUAGAAAUUUCAUGUGUUACCAUUUUAGUGUAAUGUUUUUGUUCUUUUUAAUGUUUAUUACUGGUAAAACCAAUGAUUUGUAGUAUUUAUUUUGAAAGUGUCCACAUUACCAAUAUUCUUAGUUUUAAUAGUUUUCCUCCUGAUAUGCUUUGCUUUGCCUAGAAAAUAUUAGUAUCAUCUGCAAACAGCACUUAUAGAUACUGAAAGCUUACAGUCAAAUACACUCUUUUAGGUUACUAAGAAAUGUUGUCUUUUCAUAACUUUCUAUCAACUAAAACUAAUCCUAACGUACUUUUUAAAAACUGAAUAUAUUAGAUCUAUUCUCUCUCAGAUAUUUUUGGGUGGGAAUUCAAUACAAAACAACUCUUCUACCACUUUUUAGCAUCCAUUCUUAUAGUUUUCUGUUUUUCUCUCUGACCCUGCCUUGCACCACUGAAUAAAAUGCGUAUGAUGCACAUUAAUAUUUUCUUAUUCAUAACUUAAGUGAAAAAGAAUGUUUUAAGAAGUCACUUUUUCUUAGGCAAAGGAAUUAUCUAAUUACACAAUGAACUUAACAAUACUAAGUUCAAAUAAUUUAAUUAAGAUACCAAACAUAUUACAGUACUAUAAAGUGUUUUAUUUUAAACUAUAGUUUUUUUCAUUACUUGGUUUUAUAUUUGAACAGACGCGGCAAGAACGAGAGCCCUGGCCAAACUUCCUCGGGUGGCUCCAGUAGAGUUGCUGGUGACCCAUCUUGCUCUUUCCGAUGCAAUGAGGCAAAAGGGGAUGCCUCUUUAUGUUUUUGUUUUGUUAUUGUUUUAAACAACUUUACUGAGGUUUAAUGAAGACACAAAAAAUUUGAUCAUAUUUAAUGAGUUUAGACAUACACAUAUACCUAUGAAUCCAUCACCACAAUCAAAGCAAUAGCCAUAUCCCCCAUCUCCAAAAGCUUAUUUGUUAUCCCUUUGGAUAUUUUGUUUUUGUUUUGUUUCAUGUUGUGUUUUGUGGUAAGACUACUUAAUAUAAUAACUACCCUCUAAAAUUUUUAAGUGUACAUCACAGUUUUGUUGGCUAUAAAUAUCAUGCUCUACAGCAGAUCUCUAAAACUAGUCCAUCUUGCAUGUCUGAAACUUUAUCCCAAUUGAAGAAUUGCCUAUUUCUCCCUCCCUUUGGCCCCUGGUGACCACUGUUUUAUUCUCUGCUUCUAUGAGUUGGACAAUUUAGGCACCUCUUAUUGUGACUGGCUUCUUUCACUUGCAUAAUCCACCAGAUUCACUACUACAACUCAUACCAAAAAACAAAAAAAAACAAGUAAACAAAGGUCUUGAAUAGACAUUUCUCAAAAAAGGACAUAGAAGUGACCAACAGGUAUAUGAAAGGAUGCUCUACAUUACUAAUCAUCAAGGGAAGACAAAUCAAAACCACAGUGAGAUAUCAUUUCAUGCCAGUUAGGAUGGCUAUUAAUAAAACAACAAAAGAUAGGAAGUGUUAGUGAGGA